ensembl:lncRNA
UGAUUAUUAUAGUCUGAAUAUCUUGUGACCUCAUUAUCCCCUGCCUUUUGAUUCUUUAGUUGGACUGUAUCUUUCCUAAUUCACUGUCCCUUUGAUUUCCAAUAGGCAUGACAGUGUCUCAUUAAGAGUGAUGAUUCUGAGACAUCCCUGUUGUCUGACCAGGGUGUUUAAUCCAUACAGGAGAAUCAGCAACUUGAACCUACAAGUCCCUGGAGGUACUGUGGAAGUACAUACCAAUGAAAAAAUCCAGUGAUCAGAUGAAAGCCUUCCUCGUCAAUGCUUAGAUUCUGAUUUCUCACAGCAAUUAAUUUCUGAGACGGAAAAUGCAGUUUGCAAGUUCAUGCAUAAAGUGAAUAGCUAUGUUGUUGAUAUUGCCAGUGCAGCCUAAUUUCUGGGUAUGUGGCUUUGCUUGUUUCUUGUUUUUUUGUUUUUUUUUUUUUUGUUGUUGUUGUUUUUUGUCAUAUUUCAAUAUUUUUUUUUCUGGGUUUUGUUACCACUUAGGAAAGGCAGAGCUUGGUAAAAAGCAUUAUGUUCUUUCCUAAAAAUUACUGUUUGUUUUUGUUUUUGUUUUUUUUUUGUGAUACAGGUAAUAAGAACAUAAGAUAAUGUGAUCUGUCAAUUCUGCGUGUAUUUAUUACAGGAAAAAAAAACACACAAACAACAAACUAGGAGAAUGAAAGGAAAAUGCAACUUAUUUUGCAGUCUUCUCACAGCAAAUCUGAAUUCUGAUGCAUCAACACAGGGAUCAGUAAAACCUUGUGGAGGAAGCACUUCAACACAGUUUGGGAAAUAAAUUUUGGAAAAAUCAUUUGAUCCCAAAGAUCUAUGGAAAUUAUGUCUGUGUAAUUGGAUGCAACUAGUGAGAAGUUAUAUCACUUUACAUCCCAGUAACAACUUGUUAAGAGUUGUUAAGGUAACAGAAUAAAGAGUUGUUGUGGUAACACAAAUAAAAAAGUUAUGAGAAAGGUCUGAUGUUGUUGUUGUUUUUAUCAUCAGUGUCUUAUCAUUGUUGUCAUCGUCAUUGUUAUCAUCAUCAUCACUAUUAUUUAAAUAAAAUCAACAUAUAACCUACAUUCAUUUUUAAGUAAAAUACAAACUUGGCAGAGUGUGACAUGCAGAGAGUACUUCUGUAGCUGAAUUAACAUAAAAAGCAUGAUUUCAAUCACAAAUGCCACUUUUAUUUCUGGUGUUGCUACUUUAUUUAGGUAACAAGCAGAGAUAUUUAGUUUUGUUCCAAGAUUAACGUCCUAACCAGUGAAUUCCAUGAAGUU